CAAAAUAGACAUUGGGAACCACUAGCAAUUUCCACCACAGCACUUUAGAGUUUUGUCACAAGUCUCAAGGGCCAUGUAAAUGGGAGAGUGUUUGGUGAACCCUAAAGGGGAAGAAAAACCCACGCUGGGCUAAGCCUGGCUGCAGACUUCUUCUAAAGAAACUCUUACGCCACAAAUCCUGCGAUUCUUACCAACUCAUAAAAGUCAGGAAGAUGGCACAACCCCCACCUCAAAUUUCCCCAUGACGGGGGCUCAAGGACGGGCUCAGAAUGCCCUCACCUCCUCACGUGUCCCACCAAACAAGUGAGUCUGCUGAUGGCCCAGUUGACAUCAAAGUG
rnacentral:lncRNA from 1 species